rnacentral:rRNA from 1 species
UGGGGAAUAUUGGACAAUGGGCGAAAGCCUGAUCCAGCCAUGCCGCGUGUGUGAAGAAGGUCUUCGGAUUGUAAAGCACUUUAAGUUGGGAGGAAGGGUUGUAGAUUAAUACUCUGCAAUUUUGACGUUACCGACAGAAUAAGCACCGGCUAACUCUGUGCCAGCAGCCGCGGUAAUACAGAGGGUGCAAGCGUUAAUCGGAAUUACUGGGCGUAAAGCGCGCGUAGGUGGUUAGUUAAGUUGGAUGUGAAAUCCCCGGGCUCAACCUGGGAAGGUCAUAUAAGACUGUCAGACUCGAGUAUGGGAGAGGGUAGAGGAAUUUCCGGUGUAGCGGUGAAAUGCGUAGAUAUCGGAAGGAACAUCGGUGGCGAAGGCGUCUACCUGGCCUAAUACUGACGCUGAGGUGCGAAAGCGUGGGGAGCAAACAGGAUUAGAUACCCCGGUAGUCCCUGAGCGGGCUGGCAAGGCGCAU